rnacentral:rRNA from 1 species
AAAAUUUUUAGGGAUAGAAUUUAAUGGGGGUUAAAGUAUAUUUUUAAGAAAAAAUUUUUUUAUUUAUAGUAUAAUAGUAUUGUAAAAGAAAUUUGAAAUAAUAAUGAAAAUAAAAAUUUAUUAAAAAGUAAUUUUAAUUUAAUGUAUCUUGGGUAUCAGAGUUUAUUAAAUAUUAAUAAAAUUUUUUAUAAUUCUCGAAUUUAAAAGAGAUAAUUAAUUAAUAAAUUUAUUGUAGCAUAAAUAUUUUAAAUAAUUAAUUUGAAAUGAAAUGUUAAUCGUUUUUAAAUAUAUCUAGUUUUUUUAGAAAAAAAUUUAAUUUUAAAUUAUUAAAUAUUAAUUAAUAAUUAUUUAUUAAUUAAUAAUUAUAAUUUUAUAUUUUAAGGGAUAAGCUUUAAAUUAAAAAAAUAUAAUAAAAUAAAUAAAAAAUUAAAAAUUUUAUAAUUUAUAUUGUUAAUAAAUUUUAAUUUAUUAAAAAUAAUUUUAAUAAUAAUAAAAUUUAAAAAAAAAAUUUAUUUUUUUAUAAAAAAAUAAAUUUUAAUAAAAUAAAUUUAGUUAUAAUGAUAAAAUUAGUAUAUAAUUAAAAAAAAAUAAUAAUAAUUUAAUAAAAUUUAUUUAAAGGAAUUCGGCAAAAAUUUAUAUUCACUUGUUUAUCAAAAACAUGUCUUUUUGUAAUAAUAAUUUAAAGUCUAAUCUGCCCACUGAUUUUUAAUUAAAGGGCUGCAGUAUUUUGACUGUACAAAGGUAGCAUAAUCAUUAGUCAUUUAAUUGGUGACUUGUAUGAAAGAUUGGAUGAAAUAUAAACUGUCUCUAAGUUAUUUAUAGAAUUUAAUUUUUUAUUUAAAAAGUUAAAAUAUAUUAAAAAGACGAGAAGACCCUAUAGAGUUUUAUAAAUUAUUUAAUUAAGAUUAUUUUUAAAUUUAAUAAUUAAAAUUAAAUUAUUUAUUUUGUUGGGGUGAUAGAAAAAUAGAAAUAACUUUUUUUAUUAAUAUAACAUAAAUAAGUGAAUAAAUGAUCCAAUAUUAUUGAUUAAAAGAAAAAAUUACCUUAGGGAUAACAGCGUAAUUUUUUUUUUUAGUUCAAAUAAAAAAAAAAGUUUGCGACCUCGAUGUUGGAUUAAGAUAAAAUUUAAAUGCAGAAGUUUAAAGUUUUGAUCUGUUCGAUCAUUAAAAUCUUACAUGAUCUGAGUUCAAACCGGUGUGAGCCAGGUUGGUUUCUAUCUUUUAAAAUUUAAAAUAUUUUAGUACGAAAGGAUUAAAUAUUUGAAUUAAAUUUAAUUAAAUUGAUUAUUAUUAAAGUAAAUUAAUUAAAUGUAAUUUGUUAAUUUAAUAUAUAUAUAU